rnacentral:rRNA from 1 species
ACGCUCGACACCUACGGGGNGGAGCAGUGGGGAAUAUUGCACAAUGGGGGAAACCCGUGAUGCAGCGACGCCGCGUGAAGGAAGAAGUAUUUCGGUAUGUAAACUUCUAUCAGCAGGGAAGAAGAAAGUGACGGUACCUGACUAAGAAGCCCCGGCUAACUACGUGCUAGCAGCCGCGGUAAUCUGAGCGGGCUGGCAAGGC